AUUUGAAAGUCAGAGUUACAAAGAGAUAGGGGAGAAACACUGAGAGAGAGAAAAAGAGAGAGAGAGAGAGAGAGAAUCUUCCAUCUGCUGAUGUACUCCCUAAAUAGCCUCAGGGUAGCUCCAGGCCACAGCCAGGAGCCAGGAGAUUGUUUUAGGUCUCCCACAUGGGUGCAGAGGUCCAAGCACUUGGGCCAUCAUCUGCUUAUUUCCCAAGCACAUUAACAAGAACUCGAUCAGAAGCAGAGCAGCCAGGAUUCAAACUGGUGCCCACAUGGGAUGCUGGCACAACAGACUGCAGCUUAACCUGCUGCACCAUAGUGCCAGCUACUUCUUUGUUUUUUUUUUUUUCUUCUAAAUUUCUAUGAUUGUUUUUUAAUUUAAAAGGCAGAGAGACAGAAGGACAGAUAGAGAUCUUCCAACUGUUAGUUUACUCUCUAAAUGCUUGCAACUGUCAGGGGUGUGCCAGCCCCAAACCAUGCAGCUGGAGCUCUGUUGAGGUCUCCUACAUGGGUAGCAGAGACCCAAACACUUGAAGCAUCAUCUGCUGCCACCAGGGUGUACACUGGCAGGAUGAUGGAUGGGAAGCAGAAGCUGGGAAUUAAGAUCGGCACAUACAUAUGGGUCACAGGCCUCCCAAGCUGUCUUAUUCAUUACAUCCAACACUCACUACAAACUUAUUUUUAGGGAGAGGCAAAGUACAUGUACCUGUUGUAAGAUUACAGAUCUUCUUGAAGAGCUAAAGUGACUCCAUUUUAAAACAAUUAAAAUAAGCAGCCUCCGUUUCCCAUAGCAGACCCGAGUCCUUGUAAAAGCAGGCAUUCAGGCAUUCCGGAGAUAUCAAAGCUUACCAGGGACAGACAGCUAGCUAGGUAGACCAAGGACAGCACAGUAGAGAUCGCUAAACAAAGUAACUCCCUGUACCCAAAGCUUCUGUGCUGUAUGUAACUUUUUUCCUGCUGAUGUAGCCCUUUUUUCCUUUAAAAACUCUCCCAAAGACCAGGGCCUCACUCCUUCCUCUGCUGUGCUGGUUGGUUGGAUGGGGUCCCUGUCACGGCUUGUACUCCUGGAUAAACCUUGCUUUUGCAAGAGAGACCCUCUCUGGGGGUCUCUGUGGGGAUCUAAUGAUCUGGGCACAACACUCUGUUCUAGUCUUAAUUUGACAAGAGAUGUUUAUUGUCAGGAUCUCCCCCUCCAGGAACUGGCUGGGUUGCCAUGAAGAAAGAGUGGAGGAGACUGAGGAAAGUCAAGCUAAACACAUUUCAUUGGUACUCUAGGCGACCAGGAGGAGAGAUCGCUCAAGCCUCCUGCGGGCACAAGGCACUAUGGACCAGGAGCUUCUCCCUGCGGGCACAAGGCACUACAGACCGAGGAGAGAGGCUGAGCAACCUCUGCUUUAAAGUGUCUGAGGGUCCCCUUAUAUACAGACUGGCCUGGCAUCUGCUCAACAACUAGUAUAUUCUCUGUAAAACGGGUUGAGUAUAACAGGUAAGUACCAGUAACUUCUUUUUGGUCUCACCUUGCUGGGUCAGAGGCAUGCUCAGAUGUUCAUAAUACAUGAACUUCUUAGGAUGUUCAAGAUUAAGGCAGCAUUCGACAUAUGACUGCUAUAUGUCCUAUAAAUGGCUAUAAUAAUCAGGUUGUUACGAUGGUUGAUAGACUUAUUUUAUGUAAAGCAGUUAUAAUAAUAAAAGCUAGCACAUAGUAAGCACACUGUAACUACCUAUCUAUGAAUCAUAUCUAUUGUUUUGUGCCUGCUGAACAUCCAUUCCUUCUUCUAAUUAUGAUUCUAAAAUAUAUUUUGGAGCAUCACAUUUCCCUACUAUAAGUCCUUGUUCAGGCCCUGUACCCUGGUUCCAAGUGUAGACAAUGCACUAGACCUGGCAAAUCAGAAUCACAGUGAUUCAGUCAUGAAUGGCAAUUGUAGUGGCUCUAAGUCACUGAAAUUCUAUCUCAUGACUUCUCAUCAAAACUUCUGGGAAAGAGAAUAUCUUUUUACAUCGGUAUUGCUAUGUGAAAUGGAACUUGAACUCACCAGGAAAGGAUUAUUUUCCCUAAGAAUAAAGUCAACUUACAGCAAAGCUGACUUGAAAAUGGAGACCAACAGAUCCUGACAGUCUUUUUUAGAGCAAUUGCAAAGACAAGCAAAUAUCAAAUUUUCACAUUUGUUAAAUUAGUAACACCCUGUUCCUGAGUUUCUUAUCAGCUUAAGAAAAUUACCUUAUUUCCAAAAGAGCCCUAACUUCCUAACUUUAUCCUACAGCUUUCAGAUUUGCAAGCUACUCAAGGAGAGUUGGGUGUAAGCAUACAAUGUUAUUCUAGGCGAACACUGCUAAUAUCACUAUUUCUAGUGCAUUCUUCUGAUAUUCCUCCGUAGAGGAAAUUUCUGUCUGCCCUUGAAUCAGCUUUGGUCUAUGGUCCACAUAGAUGAGAACAUUUUCAAUCCACCAAACACCUCUGAUCCUGAUUUCUCCACAUUUUGGGAUCUUUUGUUCUACUGGGAUGCAUCAGCCCAAGUUUGUUUAUUUUUCCACUCCAAGUAAGAAAUCCACAUUGUUUGUAUAUGUUUUAAUUUUAUUUUUGAAGAUUAUUUAUUUGAAAUACAGAGUGAUAGAAGAGAAGGAUGGGGAGACACACACACACACACACACACACACACACACUGUGUGUGAGAGAGAGAAACAGCUAUCAUCCAUCUGCUAGUCCAGUUCUUAAAUGGCCACAACAAGCUGCACCAGGUUGAAGCUAGUGGGCCAGAACUCCAUCUGGGUCUUGGACUUAAGUGACAGUGACUCAAGUACUUGAGUCAUCAUUUGCUUCUUCCCAGGCAUAUUAGCAGGGAUAUGAGUUGGAAGCAGAGUAGCUGGGAAUAGAACCUGUGUUCCUAUAUUAGUUGAGGGCAUACCAAGUGGUGAACUAACCCAGUGAACCUAUGCCUGUGUCAAAUUAUCCUUGUUUCUUCUUUCACGCAUAUUCCCACCAGCCCCAAUCCAAUUUUUCUCAACUCAAAAGAGGGAAAUAUGUUAUCCAACCUUCCAGUUAGUUAUUAAUAGGAUGUUAUCUGGCUAACACAGAGACUUAAAUGGACUCAAAGGCAAAAGAGGUUGAAAAGAAAUACUAAGAAUUCAACCAGAAGAGGCCGGCGCCGCAGCUCACUAGGCUAAUCCUGCGCUUUGCGGCGCCAGCACACCGGGUGCUAGUCCCGGUCGGGGCGCCGGAUUCUGGCCCGGUUGCCCCUCUUCCAGGCCAGCUCUCUGCUAUUGCCCGGGAGUGCAGUGGAGGAUGACUCAAGUCCUUGGGCCCUGCCUGCACCCCAUGUGAGACCAGGAUAAGUACCUGGCUCCUGCCAUCGGAUCAGCGCGUUGCGCCGGCCGCAGCGGCCAUUGGAGGGUGAACCAACAGCAAAGGAAGACCUUUCUCUCCGUCUCUCUCUCUCACUGUCCACUCUGCCUGUCCGCAAAAAAAAAAAAAAAAUAA